rnacentral:rRNA from 1 species
UACGUAGGGGGCAAGCGUUGUCCGGAUUUAUUGGGCGUAAAGAGCGUGUAGGCGGUUAGGUAGGUCCGUUGUGAAAACUCGAGGCUCAACCUCGAGACGCCGAUGGAAACCAUCAGGCUAGAGUCCGGAAGAGGAGAGUGGAAUUCCUGGUGUAGCGGUGAAAUGCGCAGAUAUCAGGAAGAACACCCGUGGCUAAGGCGGCUCUCUAGUACGGUACUGACGCUGAGACGCGAAAGCGUGGGGAUCAAACAGG